AGUGAACGCUGGCGGUAGGCCUAACACAUGCAAGUCGAACGGCAGCACAGUAAGAGCUUGCUCUUACGGGUGGCGAGUGGCGGACGGGUGAGGAAUACAUCGGAAUCUACUUUUUCGUGGGGGAUAACGUAGGGAAACUUACGCUAAUACCGCAUACGACCUACGGGUGAAAGCAGGGGAUCUUCGGACCUUGCGCGAUUGAAUGAGCCGAUGUCGGAUUAGCUAGUUGGCGGGGUAAAGGCCCACCAAGGCGACGAUCCGUAGCUGGUCUGAGAGGAUGAUCGACCACACGGGAACUAGGACACGGUCCCGACCCCUAGGGGAGGCAGCAGGGGGGAAUUUUGGACAAGGGGGGCAAGCCUGUCCCAGCCAUCCCGGGUGGGUGAAGAAGGCCUUCGGGUUGUAAAGCCCUUUUUUUGGGAAAGAAAAGCAGCAGGUUAAUACCCCGCUGUUCUGACGGAACCCAAAAAAAAAGCACCGGCUAACUGCGU
rnacentral:rRNA from 1 species